rnacentral:rRNA from 1 species
GAUGAACGCUAGCGGCAGGCUUAACACAUGCAAGUCGAGGGGUAUAGGGAGCUUGCUUCCUAGAGACCGGCGCACGGGUGCGUAACGCGUAUGCAAUCUACCUUUUGCAGAGGGAUAGCCCAGAGAAAUUUGGAUUAAUACCUCAUAGUAUGUGAGAAUGGCAUCAUUUUCACAUUAAAGUCACAACGGCAAAAGAUGAGCAUGCGUCCCAUUAGCUUGUUGGUAAGGUAACGGCUUACCAAGGCAACGAUGGGUAGGGGUCCUGAGAGGGAGAUCCCCCCACACUGGUACUGAGACACGGACCAGACUCCUACGGGAGGCAGCAGUGAGGAAUAUUGGACAAUGGGCGCAAGCCUGAUCCAGCCAUGCCGCGUGCAGGAUGACGGUCCUAUGGAUUGUAAACUGCUUUUGUACAGGAAGAAACACUGGUUCGUGAACCAGCUUGACGGUACUGUAAGAAUAAGGAUCGGCUAA